rnacentral:rRNA from 1 species
AUGAACGCUAGCUACAGGCUUAACACAUGCAAGUCGAGGGGCAGCAUUUUAGUUUGCUUGCAAACUGAAGAUGGCGACCGGCGCACGGGUGAGUAACACGUAUCCAACCUGCCGAUAACUCCGGAAUAGCCUUUCGAAAGAAAGAUUAAUACCGGAUGGCAUACGAAUAUCGCAUGAUAUUUUUAUUAAAGAAUUUCGGUUAUCGAUGGGGAUGCGUUCCAUUAGUUUGUUGGCGGGGUAACGGCCCACCAAGACUACGAUGGAUAGGGGUUCUGAGAGGAAGGUCCCCCACAUUGGAACUGAGACACGGUCCAAACUCCUACGGGAGGCAGCAGUGAGGAAUAUUGGUCAAUGGGCGCGAGCCUGAACCAGCCAAGUAGCGUGAAGGAUGAAGGCUCUAUGGGUCGUAAACUUCUUUUAUAUGGGAAUAAAGUUUUCCACGUGUGGAAUUUUGUAUGUACCAUAUGAAUAAGGAUCGGCUAACUCCGUGCCAGCAGCCGCGGUAAUACGGAGGAUCCGAGCGUUAUCCGGAUUUAUUGGGUUUAAAGGGAGCGUAGGUGGAUUGUUAAGUCAGUUGUGAAAGUUUGCGGCUCAACCGUAAAAUUGCAGUUGAAACUGGGAGUCUUGAGUACAGUAGAGGUGGGCGGAAUUCGUGGUGUAGCGGUGAAAUGCUUAGAUAUCACGAAGAACUCCGAUUGCGAAGGCAGCUCACUAGACUGUCACUGACACUGAUGCUCGAAAGUGUGGGUAUCAAACAGGAUUAGAUACCCUGGUAGUCCACACAGUAAACGAUGAAUACUCGCUGUUUGCGAUAUACAGUAAGCGGCCAAGCGAAAGCAUUAAGUAUUCCACCUGGGGAGUACGCCGGCAACGGUGAAACUCAAAGGAAUUGACGGGGGCCCGCACAAGCGGAGGAACAUGUGGUUUAAUUCGAUGAUACGCGAGGAACCUUACCCGGGCUUAAAUUGCAACAGAAUAUAUUGGAAACAGUAUAGCCGUAAGGCUGUUGUGAAGGUGCUGCAUGGUUGUCGUCAGCUCGUGCCGUGAGGUGUCGGCUUAAGUGCCAUAACGAGCGCAACCCUUAUCUUUAGUUACUAACAGGUCAUGCUGAGGACUCUAGAGAGACUGCCGUCGUAAGAUGUGAGGAAGGUGGGGAUGACGUCAAAUCAGCACGGCCCUUACGUCCGGGGCUACACACGUGUUACAAUGGGGGGUACAGAAGGCGGCUACCUGGUGACAGGAUGCUAAUCCCAAAAACCUCUCUCAGUUCGGAUCGAAGUCUGCAACCCGACUUCGUGAAGCUGGAUUCGCUAGUAAUCGCGCAUCAGCCAUGGCGCGGUGAAUACGUUCCCGGGCCUUGUACACACCGCCCGUCAAGCCAUGAAAGCCGGGGGUACCUGAAGUACGUAACCGCAAGGAGCGUCCUAGGGUAAAACUGGUAAUUGGGGCU